rnacentral:rRNA from 1 species
AUACGUAGGGGGCGAGCGUUGUCCGGAAUGAUUGGGCGUAAAGGGCGCGUAGGCGGCCCGGUAAGUCUGGAGUGAAAGUCCUGUUUUUAAGAUGGGAAUUGCUUUGGAUACUGUCGGGCUUGAGUGCAGGAGAGGUAAGUGGAAUUCCCAGUGUAGCGGUGAAAUGCGUAGAGAUUGGGAGGAACACCAGUGGCGAAGGCGACUUACUGGACUGUAACUGACGCUGAGGCGCGAAAGUGUGGGGAGCAAACAGGAUUAGAUUCCCUGGUAGUCCACACUGUAAACGAUGAAUGCUAGGUGUAGGGGGUAUCGACCCCUUCUGUGCCGCAGUCAACACAAUAAGCAUUCCGCCUGGGGAGUACUGCCGCAAGGUUGAAACUCAAAGGAAUUGGCGGGG